CAGGGAAUCUUGCGCAAUGGGCGAAAGCCUGACGCAGCGACACCGCGUGAGGGAAGAAUGCCUUCGGGUUGUAAACCUCUUUUAUCAGGGAAGAGAUAGGACUGUACCUGGUGAAUAAGCCCCGGCUAACUACGUGCCAGCAGCCGCGGUAAUACGUAGGGGGCGAGCGUUGUCCGGAUUUAUUGGGCGUAAAGGGCGAGUAGGCGGCAUGCCAAGUCCCAUGUGAAAUCUCCCGGCUUAACCGGGAGCGGUCAUGGGAAACUGGCGAGCUUGAGGACAGCAGAGGAGAGCGGAAUUCCCGGAGUAGUGGUGAAAUGCGUAGAUACCGGGAGGAACACCAGUGGCGAAAGCGGCUCUCUGGGCUGCCCCUGACGCUGAGGCGCGAAAGCAUGGGGAGCAAACCGG
rnacentral:rRNA from 1 species